rnacentral:rRNA from 1 species
UACGGGAGGCAGCAGUGAGGAAUAUUGGACAAUGGAGGCAACUCUGAUCCAGCCAUGCCGCGUGAAGGAUGACUGCCCUAUGGGUUGUAAACUUCUUUUAUACAGGAAGAAACGGUUUCACGUGUGAGACUUUGACGGUACUGUAUGAAUAAGCGCCGGCUAACUCCGUGCCAGCAGCCGCGGUAAUAC